GACGAACGCUGGCGGCGUGCUUAACACAUGCAAGUCGAACGGAAAGGCCCUGCUUUUGUGGGGUGCUCGAGUGGCGAACGGGUGAGUAACACGUGAGUAACCUGCCCUUGACUUUGGGAUAACUUCAGGAAACUGGGGCUAAUAUCGGAUAGGAGCUCCUGCUGCAUGGUGGGGGUUGGAAAGUUUUGGCGGUUGGGGAUGGACUCGCGGCUUAUCAGCUUGUUGGUGGGGUAGUGGCUUACCAAGGCUUUGACGGGUAGCCGGCCUGAGAGGGUGACCGGCCACCUUGCGACUGAGAUACGGCCCAGACUCCUACGGGAGGCAGCAGUGGGGAAUAUUGCACAAUGGGCGGAAGCCUGAUGCAGCAACGCCGCGUGCGGGAUGACGGCCUUCGGGUUGUAAACCGCUUUCGCCUGUGACGAAGCGUGAGUGACGGUAAUGGGUAAAGAAGCACCGGCUAACUACGUG
rnacentral:rRNA from 1 species